rnacentral:rRNA from 1 species
UACGGAGGGUGCAAGCGUUGUUCGGAAUCAUUGGGCGUAAAGCGCGUGUAGGCGGCUUGGCAAGUCGGGUGUGAAAUCCCGGGGCCCAACCCCGGAACUGCAUUCGAAACUGCCUCGCUAGAGUCCCGGAGAGGAAGGCGGAAUUCCCGGUGUAGAGGUGAAAUUCGUAGAUAUCGGGAGGAACACCAGCGGCGAAGGCGGCCUUCUGGACGGUGACUGACACUCAGACGCGAAAGCGUGGGGAGCAAACAGG